rnacentral:rRNA from 1 species
CCUACGGGUGGCAGCAGUGAGGAAUAUUGGUCAAUGGGCGGAAGCCUGAACCAGCCAAGUAGCGUGCGGGAUGAAGGCCCUACGGGUCGUAAACCUCUUUUGUCAGGGAACAAAGGCGGGGACGUGUCCCCGGAUGAGUGUACCUGAAGAAAAAGCAUCGGCUAACUCCGUGCCAGCAGCCGCGGUAAUACGGAGGAUGCGAGCGUUAUCCGGAUUUAUUGGGUUUAAAGGGUGCGCAGGCGGUCUGUUAAGUCAGCGGUCAAAGCCCGGGGCUCAACCCCGGCCCGCCGUUGAAACUGGCAGUCUCGAGUUGGAGAGAAGUAUGCGGAAUGCGCGGUGUAGCGGUGAAAUGCAUAGAUAUCGCGCAGAACUCCGAUUGCGAAGGCAGCAUGCCGGCUCCACACUGACGCUGAGGCACGAAAGCGUGGGUAUCGAACAGGAUUAGAGACCCUGGUAGUC